ACGAGUUAGGGUCUCCAAGGCCCGAUCUCCCAACCCAAUGUUUACUUAACCAUUGUUGCUUCGGCGAGCCCGUCCUCACGGACCGCCGGAGGGUUAAUGAUAGCCCUCUGGCCCGCGCUUGUCGAGAGCCUAAACCUUUAAAAUUCUUUAACUAAACGUGAUUCUCUAAGUACCAUAUUUAAUUAAAAGCA
rnacentral:misc_RNA from 1 species